CUAGUUAAUCCAACCAGUAGCCAUAUGCUUAUCUCAAAGAUUAAGCCAUGCAUGUGAAAGUAUGAACCAUUUUAGACUGUGGAAUUGCAAAUGGCUCAUUAAAUUAGUUAUAGUUUGUUUGAUGGUAUCUGCAACUCAAAUAACCAUAGUAAUUCUAGAGCUAAUACAUGCAACAUACCCUGACUUCUAGAAAGGAUGCAUUUAUUAGAUAAAAGGUCAAUACAGGUUUUGCUCAUUGCUCUGAUGAUUCUUGAUAAUUUGACGAAGUGCACAACUUUUGUGUUAGCAAUGCAUCAUUGAAAUUUAUGCCCUAUCAACUUUCAAUUGUAAGAUAAUGGCCUAUUGUAGUGGUGACGGAGAAUUAGGGUUCAAUUUCGAAGAGGGAGCUUGAGAAAUAAAUACCAAAUCCAAGGAAGACAACAAGCACGCAAAUUACCCAAUCUUGACACUAGGAGGUAAUGACAAUAAAUAACAAUAUCGGGCUUUAUGAGUUUGGUAAUUGAAAUAAGUACAGUCUAAAUCCCUUAGCGAAGAUUGAUUGGAGGGCAAGUCUAGUGCUAGUAACUGCAGUAAUUCUAGCUCCAAUAGUGUAUAUUUAAGUUGAUGCUGUUAAAAAGCUAGUAGUUAGACAUUGGGUUAAGGAGAUCAAUCUGCAUCAUAGUGAGCAUGCAGAUCAGUCUACCUUACAGUGAGCAUUGAUUAGAUUCUCUUUACUGUCGAUGAUGCAUUCCUGGCCUUAACUGGUUAGGUUGUUCCUCUGGUGUUGUUACUUUGAAGAGAUUGGAGUGCUUAAAGUAGACCUACGCUUGCAUACAUUAGCUAAAGAUUGGAGUAAUGAUUAACAAAGAUAGUAAGGGGAUUCCUAUUUCAUAGUCAGUGGUGAAAUUCUUGGAUUUAUGAAAAAUGAGCAACUACGAAGUAUUUGCCAAGGAUGUUUUCAUUAAUCAAGAAUGAAAGUUGGGGACUUGAAGAUGAUUAGAUACUGUUUUAAUCUUAAACAUAAAUAAUGCUAACUAGGGAUUUGCGGAUGUUGCUAUUAAGACUCCAUCAGCACUUUAUGAGAAAUCAAAGUCUUUAGGUUCUG
rnacentral:ncRNA from 1 species